rnacentral:rRNA from 1 species
CACGCCGUAAACGAUGAAUGCCAGCCGUUGGGGAGUUUACUCUUCAGUGGCGCAGCUAACGCUUUAAGCAUUCCGCCUGGGGAGUACGGUCGCAAGAUUAAAACUCAAAGGAAUUGACGGGGGCCCGCACAAGCGGUGGAGCAUGUGGUUUAAUUCGACGCAACGCGCAGAACCUUACCAGCUCUUGACAUGUCCAUGACCGGUCGCAGAGAUGCGGCUUUCCCUUCGGGGCAUGGAACACAGGUGC